rnacentral:rRNA from 1 species
CCCUGUACAGGGGGAUAACAGCUGAAAACGGCUGCUAAUACCGCAUAAGCGCACGAGGAGACAUCUCCUAGUGUGAAAAACUCCGGUGGUACAGGAUGGGCCCGCGUCUGAUUAGCUGGUUGGCAGGGUAACGGCCUACCAAGGCAACGAUCAGUAGCCGGUCUGAGAGGAUGAACGGCCACAUUGGAACUGAGACACGGUCCAAACUCCUACGGGAGGCAGCAGUGGGGAAUAUUGCACAAUGGGGGAAACCCUGAUGCAGCAACGCCGCGUGAGUGAAGAAGUAUUUCGGUAUGUAAAGCUCUAUCAGCAGGGAAGAUAAUGACGGUACCUGACUAAGAAGCUCCGGCUAAAUACGUGCCAGCAGCCGCGGUAAUACGUAUGGAGCAAGCGUUAUCCGGAUUUACUGGGUGUAAAGGGUGCGUAGGUGGCAGUGCAAGUCAGAUGUGAAAGGCCGGGGCUCAACCCCGGAGCUGCAUUUGAAACUGCUCGGCUAGAGUACAGGAGAGGCAGGCGGAAUUCCUAGUGUAGCGGUGAAAUGCGUAGAUAUUAGGAGGAACACCAGUGGCGAAAGCGGCCUGCUGGACUGUUACUGACACUGAGGCACGAAAGCGUGGGGAGCAAACAGGAUUAGAUACCCUGGUAGUCCACGCCGCAAACGAUGAAUACUAGGUGUCGGGGCCGUAUAGGCUUCGGUG